GAAGAACGCUGGCGGCGUGCCUAAUACAUGCAAGUCGAGCGAACGGACGAGAAGCUUGCUUCUCUGAUGUUAGCGGCGGACGGGUGAGUAACACGUGGAUAACCUACCUAUAAGACUGGGAUAACUUCGGGAAACCGUAGCUAAUACCGGAUAAUAUUUUGAACCGCAUGGUUCAAAAGUGAAAGACGGUCUUGCUGUCACUUAUAGAUGGAUCCGCGCUGCAUUAGCUAGUUGGUAAGGUAACGGCUUACCAAGGCAACGAUGCAUAGCCGACCUGAGAGGGUGAUCGGCCACACUGGAACUGAGACACGGUCCAGACUCCUACGGGAGGCAGCAGUAGGGAAUCUUCCGCAAUGGGCGAAAGCCUGACGGAGCAACGCCGCGUGAGUGAUGAAGGUCUUCGGAUCGUAAAACUCUGUUAUUAGGGAAGAACAUAUGUGUAAGUAACUGUGCACAUCUUGACGGUACCUAAUCAGAAAGCCACGGCUAACUACGUG
rnacentral:rRNA from 1 species